rnacentral:rRNA from 1 species
UACGUAGGGCGCAAGCGUUGUCCGGAAUUAUUGGGCGUAAAGAGCUCGUAGGCGGCUUGUCGCGUCUGUUGUGAAAGCCCGGGGCUUAACCCCGGGUCUGCAGUGGAUACGGGCAGGCUAGAGGCAGGUAGGGGAGAACGGAAUUCCCGGUGUAGCGGUGAAAUGCGCAGAUAUCGGGUGGAACACCGGUGGCGAAGGCGGUUCUCUGGGCCUGUACUGACGCUGAGGAGCGAAAGCGUGGGGAGCGAACAGG